rnacentral:rRNA from 1 species
UGGGGAAUAUUGCACAAUGGGGGAAACCCUGAUGCAGCGACGCCGCGUGAGCGAAGAAGGUUUUCGAAUCGUAAAGCUCUGUCCUAUGAGAAGAUAAUGACGGUAUCAUAGGAGGAAGCCCCGGCUAAAUACGUGCCAGCAGCCGCGGUAAUACGUAUGGGGCGAGCGUUGUCCGGAAUUAUUGGGCGUAAAGGGUACGUAGGCGGUCUAUUAAGUCAGGUGUGAAAGCGUGAGGCUUAACCUCAUUAAGCACUUGAAACUGAUAGACUUGAGUGAAGGAGAGGAAAGUGGAAUUCCUAGUGUAGCGGUGAAAUGCGUAGAUAUUAGGAGGAAUACCGGUGGCGAAGGCGACUUUCUGGACUUUUACUGACGCUCAGGUACGAAAGCGUGGAGAGCAAACAGG